rnacentral:misc_RNA from 1 species
UGAUUGAUCCCCUGCUAGUGAAGGUAAACAAUCUAUUUGUUUGCUGGAUUUCUUACCUGUGUAUAAUAUGUGCGGAUAGUCUCAAUUACCUAUAUGUUUUUUAUUGUUAAUUUCUUACAAGUUUCGGUGGCAUGUAUAUCGUAUUGCAUUUUAUGCCCUUAAAUAGAGGAUCUCCAGUGCUGCAUUUCACAUGUAGUAUUUUCAUGUAAGUUAAGAAUUAUUCCUUGGUUUAAUGAUUUGAAACAAAUGUGUUGUAAAAAUGAUGAGACUGCUGACUGUUUUUGAAACGAAUUGCUGCUUGAUAGCUUAUGGCCCAAUUUUGUUAUUUUUGCAGGGAUCGAAGGGG